rnacentral:rRNA from 1 species
AUUGAACGCUGGCGGCAGGCCUAACACAUGCAAGUCGAGCGAGCGGCGGACGGGUGAGUAAUGUAUGGGGAUCUGCCCGAUAGAGGGGGAUAACUACUGGAAACGGUGGCUAAUACCGCAUACUAUCGGAUGAACCCAUAUGGGAUUAGCUAGUAGGUGGGGUAAAGGCUCACCUAGGCGACGAUCGCUAGCUGGGCCGAGAGGAUGAUCAGCCACACUGGGACGGAGACACGGCCCAGACUCCUACGGGAGGGAGCAGUGGGGAAUAUUGGACAAUGGGCGCAAGCCUGAGACAGCCAUGCCGAGUGUAUGAAGAAGGCCUUAGGGUUGUAAAGUACUUUCAGCGGGUAGGCGUUACCCGCAGAAGAAGCACCGGCUAACUCCGUGCCAGCAGCCGCGGUAAUAC